rnacentral:misc_RNA from 1 species
ACCCAUGACUAUGACGUCAAGAUGCGCAACGUGGUGAAGUUCCUUGAAAACGGCGACAAGGUGAAGGUCACGCUGCGAUUCCGCGGCCGCGAGAUGGCGCACCAGAACCUGGGCCGCGAAUUGCUGGAGCGCGUGGCCGAGGACGUCAAGGAAAUCGGCAAGGUCGAGAACAUGCCGAAAAUGGAAGGCCGCCAGAUGAUCAUGAUGAUCGGCCCGGUCACCAAGUAACCCCUUGCUGGCCCGGUAACCGCCCCGCCCCCUCCGGCGGGGCGUUUUCGUUUGAAAGGCAACGCCAUGUGGGAAGACAGGUUCAA